UCCGAGCGCACCGUCCGUCCCGCUGAACGUUCCGCGGGUUUCACUCGAACGUUGAGAGAAAAUUUACCGAAAAGUCUGGAGAAACUGGAGAAGCUUCAGAUGGAGCUCUCAUCUCUACUUCAUGACCUUCAUCUCUCCUCCUCCUCCUCCUCAGAGAAGCCCCGCCCCUCUGCUGAUCUCCAUCCAAUCACAGAGCUCCUCCCUCAGCUGCAGGAGAAGCUGAUUGGUUCACCCUUUGACACCUGCUCCCUGAUUGGUCGAGUGGAGCAGCUGUUCCAGGCGGCAGAUCCUCAGUGGUUGUUCUCUCUGGGCUCAGCCAAUCAGGAGGGAGAGGGAGCGGAGCUUCAGGCAGCGUAUUGUUCCCUGAUCAGCGCUCUGAUUGGCUGUGCUGCUCUGCCGCUCUGUGAUGACGACUGCAGCCCUUUGAGUGCGGCGGCUUAUCAGAGCGUCCCGAUCCGCGCUGCCGCCGUCAGCUCCGCCCUCACAGCGCUGAUUGACAGCUGGGCCAGAGGGGGCGGGGCCAGAGGAGGCCUGCUGCUCGCUGUGGCUCCGCCCCUCUGCGUGUUCAGUGUCACACACUUCCAGGACCAGCUGUGGACUAGCUCCGCCUCCAGAGCUGCUGCUUGCCACCUGCAGGAGGCGCUGCUGAGGGCGGGGCAGUGGAGAGACUCCGCCCACCUGCUGAUUGGGGACCAGGAGAACCGAGGAAUUCUGGGAAAAGUUCUGGAUGUUCUGCAGCCUCAACUCAGCAAGGAGUCUCUCUUUCGCUGUGAAUCGGUGAAGUUCGUAUUUUCCUGGACACUGCUGCAGGUGACUCGCCCCGCCCUCUCCCCCCUCCUGCCCCACCUCCUGCCCCCCUCCCUCCUUCUCAGCGACCAUCACAGACCAGAGAACUGCAUGAUGGGAGUUCACUGCCUGCACCACAUCGUCCUCCACACGGCAGCUGCAGAUCUUCGUCAGUUCAACAGGUCAGAGGUUCUCUAUCAUUCUCUGUUCAGACUCUUGUUCACCACUGAGGCCGCCAUCGUCCAGCUGGUUCUGUCCUGCCUGCUGGACCUCCUGCUGGUCUUAGAGAAGCCCCCCACCUCGCUGGCCCCAUCCCUCCCCCGCAGGAAGUCCUGUUGCCAUGACGACGUGCUACGUCUGGUUCUGACCCACAUGGAGGCAGAACACAAGGUGGCGCUGCGACGCGUUUAUGCUGCCGCUCUGCCGCCAUUGGUCGACAGGGUGGGCGUGGCCAUCUGCAGACACCUGAGGCGGGUGGAGCGAGUGGUUCUGGGAUACCUGGAGAUCAGAGACCCACCUGAGGAGACGAGCCGACUGAAGAUCCUGGAAGUUCUGCAGAAGACCAUCAGAACCACCUGGCCCAGGAUGCAAAGUCGCAGUGACUCGUUGCUGCGUUGUUUGUUGUGGCUGCUGGUUGACGUUUCUUCAGAUUCUGAACUCAGCGACUCGACUCGACGUCAGCUGAUGGAUCAAACGUCCGUCUGCCUCCGGCUGCUGGAUGCCUGUUGCCAUGGAGACGUCCAGCGGCGCCUCCUGCAGGUCGACAGCAGUUGCUGCAGCGCCGAGGUUCUCCGCUGCCUGGAGACGGUAACCACGGCGACGGACCAGUGAUGGUGGCGGACUGACGGAGCAGGUCUGGUCCUCAUGGUGGUUCUGUCCGGUCCAGCAGAGUCUCCAGCUGCUCCAGUCUCUGUUUCAGAUGCGCUAAACUUCCCUCCGUCUUCAGACGUCUGAGGUUCUGCUGCUGAGUCCACAGACUGGAGCGAAGACGAGCCUGAAGACAAACAGAACCUUAGAGUUCUACAGAACCAGGAUCUGGUUUCUGUUGUUCUGAUCUGAAUCAUUCUACAGCCGAACCAGAAGCUGUGAUGUUCCGUUAAACUCCCGGUUUAGUUAACGGAGAUAGAAGCUGCUAAACAACGAGCUAACAGAGAACCAAGCUAAAGAUACGAUGAUGUCAUGGUUCACCUGCUCUGUUAGCACGGUGGCUAGCUGUUAGCGGCUCCAUGGUUGUUCUGUUUCAUGUUGAGUUCAGUUUGUGUUUCUUAGAAAAACUCAAAAUCACAAAACAACUAAAGAAGAACCCAACUGACAGAAAGUUGAUGGAACCAGAACCAGAACCAUCAGUGGAGUUAAACAGCUAGUUACCUGUUCAGCUCCACCGUCCAGCUCUGCUCCUGAAAAACAGAAAAAACCACAACAUUCAUCGUUUAACGUCCUGAAACAGAGAAGAGACUAAUUUAUCUGAUUUAAUAUUACAUCAUACUACUGUAUGAAAGACAUGGUUACCAUGGAGACCUACAGUCAGAAACAUCAUCACACUAUUUCCUCCUCAUGGUUAAAUGUAAUCAGAUAACAGUGUAAAUGUCUGACCUCAGCACUGAAGGUUGACCUCAGUACACCUGUGGACAGGUAGAAAGACUCCUCCCCCUCCGAUGGCCCCUCCCCCUCGGAUAGGUCCUCCCCGUCAUCCUGGAAACACAUUAAAGGUUUGAAUAUAGCAAAUUUUUUCUUUCAGUCCACUCUUCGGACGACAAAAGAACUUUGGCACCUCCAAAUAUCUUUAUAAACUAGAACAUUAAUGACAAACUGACGUUUUGUUGAAAUUUUGAACAACAUGCUAAACUUUGACUUUUUUCACAUUUUGAACAACAUACUAAACUGACUUUUUUUGUAAUUUCAGAGGACAUACUAAACUGACAUUUUUGUGUAAUUUCGGACGACAUACUAAACUAUGACUUUUUUUCACAUUUUGGAUGACGUUAUUUUCAAAUUUUUAAUGACAUUUUAAACUAUGACGUCUUUGUGUCAUUUCAGACGACAUUUUUUUCAUUUUUUGAAAUACGAUUACUUACAUACGAAACUGAUGUUUUUUUCAAAUUUUUAAUAACAUACUAAACUAUGACGUUUUUGUGUCAUGUCAGACGACAUACUAAACUAUGAUUUUUUUUUCAAAUUUUGAACGACAUACGAAACUGAUGAUUUUUUCAUUUUUUGAACGACAUACGAAACUAUGACUUUUUUUAAAAUUUUGAACGACAUACUAAACUAUGACGUUUUUUCAUUUUUUUAUUUUUAAAGUAAUUUUUUUGGACUUUUUCGGCUUCAUUUGAUCGGCGCAGUAAGAGACAGACAGGAAAUGGGGAAGAAGAGUGGGGGGAAGACAUGCAGCAAAGGACCCGGAGCGGGAAUCGAACCCGGGCCGCUGCUUUGGGGACCAGCCUCUGUACAUGGGUCACCCACUUAACCCGCUGAGCUAUACGGGCACCUGUUGUUUUCAAAUUUUUUGUAGCAUUUUGGACGACAUACUAAACUACGACUUUUUUUCGAAUUCUGAAUGACAUACUAAGGUGUAUAGUAUAGUGUUGUUUUCUGUGAUGUGUGUGUGUCGAAUAUUCAAAUAGAGCUGCGCUGCACCACCGCCAGGAUUGGACGACAGGAGGUGGGGUUGGCGCAGGAUUGGUUGGGCUGCCGAGGAAAACCAGGAUGACGUUGCCUCUGGGUCAGAGAGGGACAGAUCAGCGGGCCAUCCUCCAUGCUGUCCAGACCGGCACAUAUCCAGCACAAUUUGUUUGUUGUAUAGCAGAACAAGAUACUGUAGUGAGCUGCUACUUUUUGUUUUAUUCAUGUUCACCUGUUUGAGUUAGAGAGGGAGGGAAGACUUUGUAUUUAAUUUUGUCCUUUUAUUUUGAUAGGUAAGUCGACCUCCUAAGGACUAGUGUGGUUUUGUUUAUUAUUUUUGGCGUAAAGCUCACCCCUAAUUCAUUUACACCUUGCCUUCGACUUGUUUUUGUUAACCUCCACCUUUGCUUUUUCGAUACACAUUUAAUGUGAAUUCUUUGAGAAAACGCUGUGUGUGCUGCUUCAGACACAUGUAGUAAGGCACUUCAUGUUGCGUUCAGUAACCCCUAGGCUGGGCGUAACAGUGACAUGUUUGAUUACAUACUUCACUAUGAUGUUUUUACAUACUAUACUGUGAAAUUUUAUGCAUAUUUUGCUAUGACUUUUUUUACUAUGGCCUAAUAUACAAUGAGAUAUUUGUUUCCUGUGAAAAUCGAUUUUACAACAUGUAAAGGACUUUGGUCAAAAUUGAUUGUUUAGCAUGUGAAAUGCAUAUCUGAAAUGCAUAAAAAAAAACUUAACUUAAA